CUUCUCCUGGCAUUAGCGAACCAGGUGGAGACUUGUGUGAGGGUCAUUUUGGUGAUGAUGGCAAGCAUGAUCUUCUCUCCUUUAGUCGGCUGGAAGACUGCCUGCAAGAAACGAAUCUGCCUACACUGACAGCUCGAUUGAGGCACCAGGAUCCUUCUCUCCUGUUCUCUCUUGGUUACUAUGGUUGUAAGGAAGGAAAGCUCCUACUGCCUUGUCUUUGAGGACUUUCUCCAGGAUGCUCCCAGGGCUUUUAAAACUCUUUGCAACCUUGCCUUGUAAAGGGUUGGGGGAGUCGGCGUCUUUCCUGGCAAGCAAUGGCGGUAAUGCAGAUACACAAUUGCAAGGACACCAGUCACAGAGAAUACACAGAGACAAAUACACUCACACCAGGGACAGGAGCCAAUUAACUUACCAGUGUAUCUCUGGACUUUGGGAGGAUAAUGGAACAACUGGAGUAAGCCCACACAAACAAUGGAAGAAAAUACAGAUUCCACACCCAUCAGUUCCAGAAUUAAACCCAUUUAAAGUGCCAUGGAAUUUAAAGACCAAGUAGUCAAGACCUUGGUACUCUGAAUAUCUCCACUGAAUGAUUGCACCUCCAACACCAACAGCACAAGUUGUGCAUUUGGAAUUUACUGUUGGUAAAGUAAUUUGCAAUUAAAUCAAAGAAAAGUGCAUUAUACAACUAAACAAUUAGUUGUUUGAAUGAUAAAGACCAUUUAAUGUAUAAUUUCCUUUGAUAAUAACAUAGCAUUUCAAUCUUUUAUCACAUGCAUAUGUACACAAUUGGCCUUAUGAUCAAAAUUCACCUCAAUUGAUUAUUGUGGGAAUUGAACCAUCUAAGUAUAUUAAAUGGUCUAUAAAGGUCAAAGUAUGUAAGCAUCUGCCAUGUAGGAAUAUCCUUGGAACACAGGAUUUGAGCACCUUAGUUACCUGUGCAGUGGAGCAGGCCACAAACGCAAUUUUAACAUUUGCAUACCAAGAAAAUAUAUAUUUCAAAUUAGACAAGGAAGGAAAUAUUUAAUUUUUAGAUAUGUUUACUAUGAAAUAUCUUCUUGGCUAUAACAUACUGUACUUUGCUGUUAUCACUGUUAAAUUAUUGUGACACAUACAGUGUGUGGGUCUUUAAAAAUUGAAUAAUCUCAAAAGAACCAAAUGAUCCACAUUAGAAUAGCCUCCUUCAAUUUGCAUUAUGUUUUUAAAUGGAAUAAGUUCUCUUGAACUUCAUGCAGGUCACUAAUCAGUUAAUUUUGGAAGUACGGUCCAACAGAUCUUGUCAACUUAAUAGUCUUCUCCAGGAGACUAUAUUACUAAUGAUCAAUAGAGGAAAAAGUACAGUAUAUGGUUAAGUUAAAGUAUCUGACACAAAUCUCAACAGCAGUUAAUGAUGCUAGCCUACUGUGUAAUGGUCUUUUGCAGAAUUGUGGUCAACAACCCCAAAAAUGUUCUGUUUUUUAAAUAUAAUUCAGUGCCAUGAUAUCACAAGGACAUUCAGGAUCAUGUAGAAUGUCAGUAUGAUGUGUUCAAAAUGAUUUUCUUUUUCUUACCAGAUGGAUUUAAAGGUCUUUUAAAUAUGAAAAAGCUUAAUUAUUUAUCAAAAUGUGAACAAUGCAUGACAUGGGGAGGCAAAUCUAAAUGUAUUUCAUAAAAAUGCAGAAUACACCUGCAUACAGUAGUUAUCUGACUUUUCCAUUAGGAAUACCAUAGAUAAGCAUGGAACAUACAAGCUAUUCUUUCAUAAGCAAAUGGAAGUGCAUAUUUUGUCAUAAAGCAAUAACAUUUUAAAUACCAAAAAGAAUGAGCAUUUUUAAGGUAGACUUUCACUCAAUAUUUCUCUAGUACAAGCGCAUUACAUUUACAGUCCCACUGUGUUAUAAGUUGUUCUUAUGUUUUUCUUUUCUACUUUGUUCUUGGAAUGUAAGAUGGGGUUCUGAAUCUCUGAAAUAUUUACAAAAAAUAUGAUCACUUUAAUAAACAAUGCAUCAGAGUGUGAUGUACUGUACUCUGUUGUGAAAUAAAUCUCAAAUUCUGGGGCCCUGGGUUCAAUUCUGCACAUAGGGUGCUAUCUGUGUGGAGUUUUUUAUGUUCCUUCUGUGUUGGGAGGAGCAGGUGCUCUUGUUUUUUCCCACAUCCAAAAACAUUCUGGUAGGUUAACUGGUUUAUGGGAAGAAUGGCCCUAGAUGUAAAUGUGUGGAGGUCUGUGUUUGUGUCUCUGUGUACGCCCUGUGAUGGUCUGGUGUCCCAUCCAGGGUGUGUCCUGUGUUGUGCCUUUAUCCUCUGGUUCAUCACUACCUUCUUGCAACUAAGCAGUUACUGAAAAUGGAGGGACGCAAUGAGAAAUAAGGAACUGGGGUUUACUAGUUUAGUUUGAAAAAAAUUGAAUUAACCAUUCUAACAUUAAUUGAUUUUGAUAACCGUUAUUGUGGAAAAUAAGUAUAUAAU